CCUUCGAUAGCUCAGUUGGUAGAGCGGAGGACUGUAGGCUGUAAGUAAUCCUUAGGUCGCUGGUUCAAUUCCGGCUCGAAGGA
rnacentral:tRNA from 1 species